UGAAGAAAAAAUUGGAAACGAAGAGAGUGAUUUAGAAGAAGCCUGCAUUUUGCCUCAUAGUCCAAUAAAUGUGGACAAGAGACCCAUUGCAAUUAAAUCACCCAAGUUGGAGAGAGCAGAGGUUCGCCUGGAAGGGAUAGAUACAAUUUUGAAAUUGUAUCUGGCGAGCAAGAAUUUCUUACUUCCAUCUGUGCAGUAAGCGAUGUUUUGUGGAUGGCAAAGACUUAUUCCUGAAGGAAUCGAUAUAG
rnacentral:lncRNA from 1 species